rnacentral:rRNA from 1 species
CCUACGGGUGGCAGCAGUGGGGAAUAUUGCACAAUGGGGGGAACCCUGAUGCAGCGACGCCGCGUGAGUGAAGAAGUAUUUCGGUAUGUAAAGCUCUAUCAGCAGGGAAGAAGAUGACGGUACCUGACGAAAAAGCCCCGGCUAACGUCGUGACAGCAGCCGCAGUAAUACGUAGGGGGCAAGGGUUAUCCGGAUUUACUGGGUGUAAAGGGAGCGUAGACGGACGGGGAAGUCAGGAGGGAAAGGGCGGGGCCCAACCCCGGGACUGCUUUGGAAACUGCAAUGCUAGAGUGCUGGAGAGGUAAGCGGAAUUCCUAGUGUAGCGGUGAAAUGCGUAGAUAUUAGGAGGAACACCAGUGGCGAAGGCGGCUUUCUGGUCUGUAACUGACGCUGAGGCUCGAAAGCGUGGGGAGCAAACAGGAUUAGAUACCCUUGUAGUC